GUAACUAUGACUCAACCACCUUGAGAGGGUCACGAGAGGGACGUCAAAGUCGAGCCCUAGUGGCGGCGGCCUCCGGGCGGCCGCUGCGACACUGUCAAAUUGCGGGGAGUUCCUAAAGCACCGGCUACCCCCGCCUCCCCGAAAGGGCGAGGCGCGCACCAGGGUAAUGACCUCGGGCAUGGUAACAACGCCGGUGAUGUGACAAUGGAUAAUCCGCAGCCAAGCGCUACCGCCCCUCGGGGCCAGGCGUGCUGUCCAACGACUAGAUGGCAGUGGGUCCGCCCUCCCGGGCGGGCUUAAGAUAUAGUCUGCUCCCCGGCCCAACGGUCGGG
rnacentral:ncRNA from 1 species